AUGGGCUGCAGGCUCCUCUGCUGUGUGGCCCUUUGUCUCCUGCGAGCAGGCCCCAUGGAUGCCGAAGUAACCCAGACCUCAAGAUAUCUGGUCAAGAGAAUGGGAGAGAAAGUUGUGAUCGAAUGUUCCCAGGAUAUGGGCCACGACAGAAUGUUCUGGUACCGGCAAGACCCAGGUCUGGGGCUGCGGCUGCUCCAUUUCUCAUACGGGACUGGCCUAUAUGAGAAAGGAGACUUCCCUGACGGGUACAGCGUCUUCAGGCUGAAGGAAGAGGAGUUCUCCCUGACCCUGGGCUCUGCCAGCACCAACCAGACAUCUGUGUAUCUCUGCGCCAGCAGUCACCCUCAGCAGCCUCAGUAUGGUGAGCUGUUUUUCGGCAGUGGGACCAAGCUGUCUGUCUUGGAGGACCUCAAAAGGGUGAAGCCACCCACGGUCACCGUGUUUGAACCAUCGGAAGCAGAGAUCGCCCGGACCCAAAAGGCCACGCUCGUGUGCCUGGCCACAGGCUUCUACCCCGACCACGUGGAGCUGAGCUGGUGGGUGAACGGCAAGGAGGUCCAGAGCGGGGUCAGCACGGACCCUCAGCCCUACAAGGAGCAUCCCAACAACAACAACUCCAACUACUGCCUGAGCAGCCGGCUGAGGGUCUCCGCCGCCUUCUGGCACAACACGCGCAACUUCUUCCGCUGCCAAGUCCAGUUCUACGGGCUGGACGAGAACGACACGUGGGAGGAGACGGACGGCCCCAAGCCCGUCACCCAGAAUAUCAGCGCCGGGGCCAGGGGCAGAGCCGACUGCGGCCUCACCUCGGUGUCCUAUCAGCAAGGGGUCCUGUCUGCCACCCUCCUGUAUGAGAUCCUGCUGGGGAAGGCCACCGUGUAUGCAGUGCUGGUCAGCGCCCUGGUGCUGAUGGCCAUGGUCAAGAGAAAGGACUCCUGACACCAGCUCCGAGGUGCAGCCGGGAACGUCCAGUCUUCUAUCGCCCCAACGUGAACCCACCUUUUUCCAUUCCUAGCCACUGCUUCUGAAGA